UACGAAGGGGGCUAGCGUUGCUCGGAAUUACUGGGCGUAAAGGGCGCGUAGGCGGACAGUUUAGUCAGAGGUGAAAGCCCAGGGCUCAACCUUGGAAUUGCCUUUGAUACUGGCUGUCUUGAGUUCGGGAGAGGUGAGUGGAACUGCGAGUGUAGAGGUGAAAUUCGUAGAUAUUCGCAAGAACACCAGUGGCGAAGGCGGCUCACUGGCCCGGUACUGACGCUGAGGUGCGGAAGCGUGGGGAGCAAACAGG
rnacentral:rRNA from 1 species